GCCAACUACGGGCCAGCAGCCGCGGUAAGACGUAGGGCGCGAGCGUUGUCCGGAUUUAUUGGGCGUAAAGAGCUCGUAGGCGGCUUGUCGCGUCGACCGUGAAAACUUGGGGCUCAACCCCAAGCCUGCGGUCGAUACGGGCAGGCUAGAGUUCGGUAGGGGAGACUGGAAUUCCUGGUGUAGCGGUGAAAUGCGCAGAUAUCAGGAGGAACACCGGUGGCGAAGGCGGGUCUCUGGGCCGAUACUGACGCUGAGGAGCGAAAGCGUGGGGAGCGAACAGGAUUAGAUACCCUGGUAGUC
rnacentral:rRNA from 1 species